AGUCACGACCAGGAUAUAGAGCAAGCAUACAUUGAUAUUCUGGAUUUGACGAACCAAACUCUUUGGUUCAUGUUAGAGAUGCAGCGUUACUGGAGCGAAAUCAAAUCAGGCUGCAAUGGACGCAAAUGGUCAUGGACGAGGCGAGCUUGUUCAAACAGUGGGCGUUGAUUCUGUAGCAGCAGGGCUCUGGCCCUGAUUAUAGAGACCGUGUGAGCCGCUGGCAG